CCCUUAGACGUUCUGGGCCGCACGCGCGCUACACUGACCAGUGCAACAAGCAUCCGUCCUUGGCCGACAGGCCCGGGCAAUCUUUGAACGCUGGUCGUGAUGGGGAUAGACUUUUGCAAUUUUUGGUCUUCAACGAGGAAUUCCUAGUAAACGCAAGUCAUCAACUUGCAUUGAUUACGUCCCUGCCCUUUGUACACACCGCCCGUCGCACCUACCGAUUGAAUGGUCCGGUGAAGCCUCCGGAUUGGCGCGAACCUCGGUGCCGCCGAGAAGUUGGCUAAACCUUACCAUUUAGAGGAAGGUGAAGUCGUAACA
rnacentral:rRNA from 1 species